UAGGGAAUCUUCCACAAUGGACGCAAGUCUGAUGGAGCAACGCCGCGUGAGUGAAGAAGGUCUUCGGAUCGUAAAGCUCUGUUGUUGGUGAAGAAGGAUAGAGGCAGUAACUGGUCUUUAUUUGACGGUAAUCAACCAGAAAGUCACGGCUAACUACGUGCCAGCAGCCGCGGUAAUACGUGGUGGCAAGCGUUGUCCGGAUUUAUUGGGCGUAAAGCGA
rnacentral:rRNA from 1 species